rnacentral:lncRNA from 1 species
GAUUGUGUUUCCCGAGACCUCCCAGCCGUGCUUCCUGUACAGCCUGCAGAACUAAAAGAUCGAUAACUUGGAAACGGAGAAUGACGGCUGGACUGGGGUGAGGUCAAGAUGACACAGUGUUGUUGGGAUGACCCAGUCCGCGGGAGAGAGUGGCUGAGAGUGGCUUAGUCCACGGGAGAGAGUGGCCGAGAGCGGCUUCACCUGCAGGCUCCUGGGAGCACUGGGCAGG